GUGACAAGAAAUAACAAUACAAGGCAGUUAAAAUAGCUUUGUAAUUGGAAUAGGAUAGAAAUUUAAACACUUUUUAAAGUAUCAAUUGGAGGGCAAGUCUGGUGCCAGCAGCCGCGGUAAUUCCAGCUCCAAUAGCGUAUAUUAAAAUUGUUGCAGUUAAAAAGCUCGUAGUUGAAUUUCUGCUAAAAAUAACCGGUCUGCUUUUAAUAAAGGUGGUAUCUUGGUGUGUUUUUAGCAAUAAUGUCCUUUGAAAUGUUUUUUACUUCAUUGUAAUAAAUUAUAUUUAGGAUUUUUACUUUGARAAAAUUAGAGUGUUUCUAGCAGGCUAAUGCUUUGAAUACUGCAGCAUGGAAUAAUAAAAUAGGAUUUUGGUUCUACAUUAUUGUU
rnacentral:rRNA from 1 species